UACAGAGGUCUCAAGCGUUGUUCGGAUUCAUUGGGCGUAAAGGGUGCGUAGGCGGCGCGGUAAGUCGGGUGUGAAAUCUUGGAGCUUAACUCCGAAACUGCAUUCGAUACUGCCGUGCUUGAGGACUGGAGAGGAGACUGGAAUUUACGGUGUAGCGGUGAAAUGCGUAGAUAUCGUAAGGAAGACCAGUGGCGAAGGCGGGUCUCUGGACAUGUAUUGACGCUGAGGUGCGAAAGCGUGGGGAGCAAACAGG
rnacentral:rRNA from 1 species